UCAAUGACAAUGGAAUCAAUCAUAGUUGAAUCAGCCCAGGAGCCAAGCUGAAGACUGUGCUCAGGAACAGUAAAUCAGAGGCAGCUCGGUGAAGGGGAAUUCUUGCCAAAUUUGUGGGUGCUAGCUGUCAGCAAAUCAAAAAUACAGAGCCAUUUGAGAAAAAUUUCCAGUUAAAGUGGAAUUCUCAAAACCAUGAACUGCCACCAGUCCCACAGCAUGUUGGAUAGUACCUGCUUCACCCAGAGAUGGCCUUGUAGACUCAGGACGGACCUGCUAAGCUGAAGCCCUGGGAUGGAUCCUUCUUUGGAAGAUUUUGUCAUUCAUGAAAUUGGAACUGUCCUUCAAAUGUGUCUUGAAAGAGAAUCAAACUCAGGACCUUGCACUUGCCAGG